AACGAACGCUGGCGGCAUGCCUAACACAUGCAAGUCGAACGAGACCUUCGGGUCUAGUGGCGCACGGGUGCGUAACGCGUGGGAACCUGCCCUUAGGUUCGGAAUAACUCCCCGAAAGGGGUGCUAAUACCGGAUAAUGUCUUCGGACCAAAGAUUUAUCGCCUUUGGAUGGGCCCGCGUUGGAUUAGCUAGUUGGUAGGGUAAAAGCCUACCAAGGCGACGAUCCAUAGCUGGUCUGAGAGGAUGAUCAGCCACACUGGGACUGAGACACGGCCCAGACUCCUACGGGAGCAGCAGUGGGGAAUAUUGGACAAUGGGCGAAAGCCUGAUCCAGCAAUGCCGCGUGAGUGAUGAAGGCCUUAGGGUUGUAAAGCUCUUUUACCCGGGAUGAUAAUGACAGUACCGGGAGAAUAAGCUCCGGCUAACUCCGUG
rnacentral:rRNA from 1 species